rnacentral:rRNA from 1 species
GAGUGCGAUCAUACCACCGUUAAUGCACCGGAUCCCAUCAGAAAUCUGUAGCUAAGCAUGCCUGGGCUAGAGUAAUACUGGUAUGGGUGACCUCUAGGGAAGUCCUAGUGUUUCACCCU